rnacentral:rRNA from 1 species
GUAUAAAGGCAAAAGCGCGCUUGACUGCGAGACAGACACGUCGAGCAGGUACGAAAGUAGGUCUUAGUGAUCCGGUGGUUCUGUAUGGAAGGGCCAUCGCUCAACGGAUAAAAGGUACUCCGGGGAUAACAGGCUGAUACCGCCCAAGAGUUCAUAUCGACGGCGGUGUUUGGCACCUCGAUGUCGGCUCAUCACAUCCUGGGGCUGAAGCCGGUCCCAAGGGUAUGGCUGUUCGCCAUUUAAAGUGGUACGCGAGCUGGGUUUAGAACGUCGUGAGACAGUUCGGUCCCUAUCUGCCGUGGACGUUUGAGAUUUGAGAGGGGCUGCUCCUAGUACGAGAGGACCGGAGUGGACGAACCUCUGGUGUUCCGGUUGUCACGCCAGUGGCAUUGCCGGGUAGCUAUGUUCGGAAGAGAUAACCGCUGAAAGCAUCUAAGCGGGAAACUUGCCUCAAGAUGAGAUCUCACUGGAGCCUUGAGCUCCCUGAAGGGCCGUCGAAGACUACGACGUUGAUAGGUUGGGUGUGUAAGCGCUGUGAGGCGUUGAGCUAACCAAUACUAAUUGCCCGUGAGGCUUGACCAUAUAACACCCAAACAAUU